UCCCUGCUAGCUCAGUUGGCUAGAGCGUCUGACUGUUAAUCAGGAGGUCGAUGGUUCGAGCCCAUCGCGGGGAG